GAGAAGWAACUAACCAGGAUUUCCCUAGUAACGGCGAGCGAACCGGAAAGAGCCCAGCUUGAAAAUCGUGGUGCCUCGCACCUCGAAUUGUAGUCUGGAGAAGGUCCCUCUGCGACGCGCCGGACCCAAGUUCCCUGGAAAGGGACGUCAUCGAGGGUGACAACCCCGUCCGCGCCCGGAACGCGUCGCUCCACGAGGACCUGUCUGCGAGUCGGGCUGUUUGGGAAUGCAGCCCUAAGCGGGAGGUAAAUUCCUUCCAAGGCUAAAUAUGGGCAAGAGACCGAUAGCGAACAAGUACCGCGAGGGAAAGAUGAAAAGGACUUUGAAAAGAGAGUUAAAAAGUGCUUGAAAUUGCUGGGAGGGAAGCGAAUGGAAGCUGCGGGUGCGCCCCGGUUGGAUGUGGAACGGCUUCGGCUGGUCCGCCGCUCAACGCGGGGCGCUGGUCAGCGUGGGCCACGGCGCCGGGACAAGAGCGGGGAUUCGCUUCCCGCCUAUGCCGGUGCGGUGGCCGAGGCACGAAGCGCGCGCCGCAAGGCGUGGGUUCGCCCAACUGCGCGCUCGGGACGCUGGCGUAUUGAGCUCUUCAUCCGACCCGUCUUGAAACACGGACCAAGGAGUCUAACAUGUAUGCGAGCCGGUGGGCGGCAAACCCAUUGAGGCGCAAGUAAACUGACAGGUGGGACCCCGACCGUGAGGGAGGGAGCACCAUCGACCGACCGUGAUCUUCUGUGAAAGGUUUGAGUGUGAGCAUACCUGUUGGGACCCGAAAGAUGGUGAACUAUGCCUGAGCAGGGCGAAGCCAGAGGAAACUCUGGUGGAGGCUCGUAGCGAUACUGACGUGCAAAUCGUUCGUCAGACUUGGGUAUAGGGGCGAAAGACUAAUCGAACCAUCUAGUAGCUGGUUCCCUCCGAAGUUUCCCUCAGGAUAGCUGGAGCUCGUGUACAAGUUUUAUCAGGUAAAGCGAAUGAUUAGAGGCAUCGGGGGUGUAACACCCUCGACCUAUUCUCAAACUUUAAAUAGGUAAGCCGCCGGGGUUGCUUGGUUGAACCCCGGCACAGAAUGAGAGCUCCAAGUG
rnacentral:rRNA from 2 species